rfam:Brassica oleracea var. oleracea cultivar TO1000 chromosome C1, whole genome shotgun sequence
AAGCCAUGAUGUGGGCAUUGAGACCAAUAGCCCUUGAACCUCACCCAUGCUUCACUAAAUCCCUCUAAGUUCUUCUGCUGAACGCUAGAGAUCUCAUUCCUGAUCUU